UUCUCUUUAACGUUACGGUAAAAUAAGUAAUAAUUUUCGGUAUCAACAUUUGCUUCAAUUUCUCUAAGAAAGUCGUAUCCAAUGAUAGCAUCAAAUGUACUUAAGUUGGGAAAUUUUAUCGGAGCGUCAACCAGCCGAGGUGUCGUAAAACGAACAAAUGUCCUUAAAGCCUCGGAAGUGAAAUCAAUGUGUGGUAUACGAGUAUUGUAAAAAUAAUAAAAAUGUAUUUCCUUUGCGGAUUAAUUUUAAAAUCGAAAAUGUGUCGUACACAUAAAGUGCCAGUAGCGGUAGGUAAAAUUGGUGGCCCCGGUAAAACUGUUCAAAUAGAUGAGAGCAAAUUUGGAAAGAGGAAAUACAACAAAGGGUGGAGAGUCGAAGGCCACUGAGUUCUUGGGAUGGUUGAGGAUGGGAGGGACGACCUUAGACUGAAGGUAUGUCCCGGCAAUGUGUGGUCUGCUGAGGUGCUCAUACCUUUGAUAGAGAAGCACGUGAUAAAAGGUAGUAUUAUAUGUACUGAUUGUUGGAAGGCAUACGACUGUCUGUCCAGUCACGGGUAUGAGCACCGACGGGUUAAUUACAAGAAAAUUAUAAUAAUGUGAAGAAUUUUAUAAUUUAAUUUUUGAGUAUAUUUGGAGGAAGAAUAUUGCAAAUAAU
rnacentral:lncRNA from 1 species